rnacentral:rRNA from 1 species
AGAGCGAACGCUGGCGGCAGGCCUAACACAUGCAAGUCGAGCGCCCCGCAAGGGGGAGCGGCAGACGGGAGAGUAACACGUGGGAACGUACCCUUUGGUUCGGAACAACACAGGGAAACUUGUGCUAAUACCGGAUAAGCCCUUACGGGGAAAGAUUUAUUGCCAAAGGAUCGGCCCGCGUCUGAUUAGCUUGUUGGUGAGGUAACGGCUCACCAAGGCUACGAUCAGUAGCUGGUCUGAGAGGAUGAUCAGCCUCACUGGGACUGAGACACGGCCCAGACUCCUACGGGAGGCAGCAGUGGGGAAUAUUGGACAAGUGGGCGCAAGCCUGAUCCAGCCAUGCCGCGUGGAUGAUGAAGGCCCUAGGGUUGUAAAGUCCUUUCGACGGGGAAGAUAAUGACGGUACCCGUAGAAGAAGCCCCGGCUAACUUCGUGCCAGCAGCCGC